CGAGCGCAACCCUUGUGACUAGUUGCCAGCGCGUAAUGGCGGGAACUCUAGUCAGACUGCCCAGAUCAACUGGGAGGAAGGUGGGGACGACGUCAGGUCAGUAUGGCCCUUACGCCUUGGGCUGCACACGUACUACAAUGCCCAGCACAAUGAGAACCGAUACCGCGAGGUGGAGGAAAUCUAUAAAACUGGGCCCAGUUCGGAUUGGAGGCUGCAACUCGCCUCCAUGAAGUUGGAAUCGCUAGUAAUGGCGCAUCAUCUACGGCGCCGUGAAUACGUUCCCGGGUCUUGUACAC
rnacentral:rRNA from 1 species